UACGUAGGGCGCGAGCGUUGUCCGGAUUUAUUGGGCGUAAAGAGCUCGUAGGCGGUCUGUUGCGUCGGCUGUGAAAACCCGGGGCUCAACUCCGGGCCUGCAGCCGAUACGGGCAGACUAGAGUUCGGCAGGGGAGACUGGAAUUCCUGGUGUAGCGGUGAAAUGCGCAGAUAUCAGGAGGAACACCGGUGGCGAAGGCGGGUCUCUGGGCCGAUACUGACGCUGAGGAGCGAAAGCGUGGGGAUCAAACAGG
rnacentral:rRNA from 1 species